rnacentral:rRNA from 1 species
GACGAACGCUGGCGGCGUGCUUAACACAUGCAAGUCGAACGGAAAGGCCCUGCUUGCAGUGUACUCGAGUUGCGAACGGGUGAGUAACACGUGGGUGAUCUGCCCUCCACUUCGGGAUAAGCCUGUUAAACUGGGUCUAAUACCGGAUAGGACCUUCCAUGUAGUGUGGGGGUUGGUAAUAUUAAGCGGUUUUGGAUGAGCUCAAGGCUUAUCAGCUUGUUGGUUGGGUAAUGGCCUACCAAGGCGUCGACGGAUAGCCGGCAUGAGAGGGUGGACGGCCACAUUGGGACUGAGAUACGGCGCAGAAUCCUAUGGGAGGCAGCAGUGGGGAAUAUUGCACAAUGGGCGGAAGCCUUAUGCAGCGACGCCGCGUGGGGGAUGACGGCCUUCGGGUUGUAAACCUCUUUCGACAGGGACGAAGCUUCGGUGACGGUACCUGUAUAAGAAGCACCGGCUAACUACGUG